rnacentral:rRNA from 1 species
AUACGUAGGGUGCAAGCGUUAAUCGGAAUUACUGGGCGUAAAGCGUGCGCAGGCGGUUUUGUAAGACAGUGGUGAAAUCCCCGGGCUCAACCUGGGCACUGCCAUUGUGACUGCAAGGCUGGAGUGCGGCAGAGGGGGAUGGAAUUCCGCGUGGAGCAGUGAAAUGCGUAGAUAUGCGGAGGAACACCGAUGGCGAAGGCAAUCCCCUGGGCCUGCACUGACGCUCAUGCACGAAAGCGUGGGGAGCAAACAGGAUUAGAUACCCUGGUAGUCCACGCCCUAAACGAUGUCAACUGGUUGUUGGGGAUUUAUUUUCUCAGUAACGAAGCUAACGCGUGAAGUUGACCGCCUGGGGAGUACGGCCGCAAGGUUAAAACUCAAAUGAAUUGACGGGG